rnacentral:rRNA from 1 species
GAAUUCGCCCUUAGAGUUUGUUCCUGGCUCAGGACGAACGCUGGCGGCGUGCCUAACACAUGCAAGUCGAACGGAAGCAAAGAUUUCGGUUUUUGCUUUAGUGGCGAACGGGUGAGUAACGCGUGAGGAACCUGCCUUUCAGUGGGGGACAACAGUUGGAAACGACUGCUAAUACCGCAUAAUGCUUUUGAGUGGCAUCACUUAAAAGCCAAAGAUUUAUUGCUGAAAGAUGGCCUCGCGUCUGAUUAGCUAGUUGGCGGGGUAACGGCCCACCAAGGCGACGAUCAGUAGCCGGUCUGAGAGGAUGAACGGCCACAUUGGGACUGAGAUACGGCCCAGACUCCUACGGGAGGCAGCAGUGGGGAAUAUUGGGCAAUGGGGGAAACCCUGACCCAGCAACGCCGCGUGAAGGAAGAAGGCCUUCGGGUUGUAAACUUCUUUUACCAGGGGCGAAAGAAAUGACGGUACCUGGAGAAAAAGCAACGGCUAACUACGUGCCAGCAGCCGCGGUAAUACGUAGGGGGCAAGCGUUAUCCGGAAUUAUUGGGCGUAAAGAGUACGUAGGUGGUUUCCUAAGCAUGGGGUUUAAGGCAACGGCUUAACCAUUGUUCGCCCCAUGAACUGGGUUACUUGAGUGCUGGAGGGGAAAGCGGAAUUCCUAGUGUAGCGGUGAAAUGCGUAGAUAUUAGGAGGAACACCAGUGGCGAAGGCGGCUUUCUGGACAGUAACUGACACUGAGGUACGAAUAGUGUGGGGAGCAAACAGGAUUAGAUACCCUGGUAGUCCACACCGUAAACGAUGAGCCCUAGGUGUUGGUCUCGCAAGAGUUCGGUGCCGCAGUUAACGCAUUAAGUGCUCCGCCUGGGGAGUACGUACGCAAGUAUGAAACUCAAAGGAAUUGACGGGGACCCGCACAAGCAGCGGAGCAUGUGGUUUAAUUCGACGCAACGCGAAGAACCUUACCAAGGCUUGACAUUGAGUGAGAGGCCUAGAGAUAGGCGCCCUUCUUCGGAAGCACGAAAACAGGUGGUGCAUGGCUGUCGUCAGCUCGUGUCGUGAGAUGUUGGGUUAAGUCCCGCAACGAGCGCAACCCCUAUCCUAUGUUACCAGCAUUGAGUUGGGGACUCAUAGGAGACUGCCAGGGAGAACCUGGAGGAAGGCGGGGAUGACGUCAAGUCAUCAUGCCCCUUAUGUCUUGGGCUACACACGUACUACAAUGGUCGGCAACAGAGAGCAGCGAACCCGCGAGGGGGAGCGAACCUCAAAAACCCGAUCCCAGUUCGGAUCGCAGGCUGCAACCCUGCCUGCGUGAAGUCGGAAUCGCUAGUAAUCGCAGGUCAGCAUACUGCGGUGAAU